GGCGGCCUACAGGAACAUCAAAAACGCCAUCAAACCCGUGCUCGUCCACCUGGACAAUCACUCUCUGUGGGAGCCCAAGGUUUUCGCCACGGGAUGUUUCCGGAUCAUCAUGUACUCCAUCCAGCCCCAGCACUCCCACCUGGUGAUCCAGCAGCUCCUGGGACA